AAAUUGAAGAGUUUGAUCAUGGCUCAGAUUGAACGCUGGCGGCAGGCCUAACACAUGCAAGUCGAGCGGAAACGACACUAACAAUCCUUCGGGUGCGUUAAUGGGCGUCGAGCGGCGGACGGGUGAGUAAUGCCUAGGAAAUUGCCUUGAUGUGGGGGAUAACCAUUGGAAACGAUGGCUAAUACCGCAUAAUGCCUACGGGCCAAAGAGGGGGACCUUCGGGCCUCUCGCGUCAAGAUAUGCCUAGGUGGGAUUAGCUAGUUGGUGAGGUAAUGGCUCACCAAGGCGACGAUCCCUAGCUGGUCUGAGAGGAUGAUCAGCCACACUGGAACUGAGACACGGUCCAGACUCCUACGGGAGGCAGCAGUGGGGAAUAUUGCACAAUGGGCGAAAGCCUGAUGCAGCCAUGCCGCGUGUAUGAAGAAGGCCUUCG
rnacentral:rRNA from 1 species